rnacentral:lncRNA from 1 species
GUUCACAGGCCUCCUGAAACCCAUUCAUGGUUAUCUGUUCCAGUGACUCAAGAGCCGCUCUGGGGAAGCCAACUGCCUGCCAGCUUGUGAGUACUCACAUGGAGAGGCCCGUGUGGCAAGGAACUAAGGUCCCUGUCCAACAACUAGAAAGGAACAGAGGCUCUCUGCCAACAGUGAGCAUUUGCACCGAGCUUUUGGUCAAGACUUACCCUGGGCAUUCCAGCAAAGAUUCACAUCAACUCACCAAAUGGCCAAUUCAUUUCCAGAGUCUCUUUAAACGUUUCUGGUCUGCAGGAUAUAGCUGAACAUUUUAUUACAUAUUGCUUCCACUAAGACGUAGAAAAAGACUUAUUUGUAACUCCUGCUCUUUCUAAAUUCCCCCUUUAGAAUGGGCAGCCUAACACAAUGCUGCAUGAUUUUUACUUCUCUCAACUUUGCUUCCUGUGCCAACAUGUUAAGUGUUGGAUGGAUUUGUGUUAGAAAUGAAGGGCCAGGCCAGGCACAGUGGCUCAUGCCUGUAAUCCCAGCACUUUGGGAGGCAGAGGCGGAUGGAUCACUUGAGCCCAGGAGCUUCAGACCAGCCUGGGCAACGUGGUAAGACCCUGUCUACACAAAAAAUAAAAAACUUAGCCAGGCGUGGUGGCGUGCACCUGUAGUCCCAGCUACUCAGGAGGCUGAGAGGAGAGAAUUGCUUGAGCCCAGGAGGCAGAGGUUGCAGUGAACUGAAAUCAUGCCUCUGCACUCCAGCCUGGGUGAUAGGAAAAAGAAACAGAAAUGAAGCACCAGCCAUCAUGGCUUUGGUGUUUGAACUAUAUGCCAGAUUAACCUUAAUCAGUGCUACCUGCUUAAUAUACACAACAAAACUAAAUGAAACACAAUAAUCAACAUUAUUACUCUAUUAGUACUUUAAAAAGUGACUUAUCCCUUUAAUCUUAAAACUUUCAUUCAAACUUUGGCUAACACAGUGAAACCUCGUCUCUACUAAAAAAUACAAAAAAACUAGCCGGGCGAGGUGGCGGGUGCCGGUAGUCUCAGCUACUCAGGAGGCUGAGGCAGGAGAAUGGCAUAAACCGGGGAGGCAGAGCUUGCAGUGAGCUGAGAUCCGGCCACUGCACUGCAGCCUGGGCAACACAGUGAGACUCCGUCUCAAAAAAAAAAAAAAAAUGUUUAUUCUACAGAGUUGUUUAGUCAUUUUCUUUAGAUCAUUUAAGUGUCUCCUUACAGAUCAUACAUAAGCCACACAACAGAAAUGGAAGCCAGAUAUAUUUAAAGGUGAAGAGGUAGGUGAUGCUUUUAACUGGAAAACAAUCAAAGUAAAGCUAAAAUGUGCCUUUGCAAAUAAAUGCAAGUAAAUAUGAAGUAGGAUUUGGUUUACCAAAAUUAAAUUAUACUUAACAUUUUUGUUUUGACUGGAUCUGCUCUUUGAAGGGAAGUGCCUGUAUAUUCAUUUGACUAAAGAAGAACGAGAAAAGAAGAAACUCCUGUUGCUGGCCUAUUGAUUUGAAGCAUAGUUUGAAACUAAUUUGUAGGGAAAGGGAUAUCUCCAAGUAAUUCACAACAGUGUCUGUUCCUAGCCAGUGUAAACAAACUAGAGCAGUAAUGAAUUCUUGGUGGUUACUGAAGUCCGCUUGCUGUGGAGAAGCAAAAUGAUUUGCUUUAGUGGAUUCCUGAUGUGUUGACUGUCUGCCCAGAAUUGAGAUCCAGUUGCCAGAGGUGGGUGCAGGGAGUAGAGAACUAAAUCUCAGAUUUCCAUGGUUCAUGAAUGUCUUGUGCAAAGACAGGGUGGAACAAUUUGCUGCCCCCAUGAGCUGGUAUGAAAUGAACGAUUGAAAGGGUUAUGCCUAUACCUGAAAUAGGAAACGUGAUUAUUAGAGACUGGCCACCACCUAGGUCCCCCCUUUCAAAUGCCAAGAGCAGUGAAAGAGGGAACAAGGCUUCUCCACCUGACCAGAUGUGGUGGGUAUGUUUCUGCUGAGCCAACCUACCUGCUCCUAAAGAGUCUUGACUAUGGUAGUGUAGACCUAAAGGAUGCUUGGUCUUGUUUUUCACUCAUUUAUCUUCCUGGGAAGAAGAGCAACUCCUGUGAUGAGUGAGACUGGGAGAAAUAAAUGAGAAUGUGCCCCCCAGCUCCUUCCUUUUUGUCUCUUUUGAGUGAGUCUGCUGGUUGUCAAUCCUGAAAGUACAUCAUCAUCACCUAGUGAGCUUUUGAACAGUCCUCAAGUCCAGGCCCCACUUAAUUCGUCUGGCGUGGAGCUCUGGGUGUUGAUCCUUUCAGAGUUCCACAGCUGCUUCCGGUGUGCAGCCAGUUCCAAGAAACCAUGAGCCAAGCUGCCCCCAGGACACACGGCUCCUCUGCUCUUCCUUGCAGCGGUAGCCUGCACUUGUGGAGGCCUGCCUGUGAUGUCCUGUGACAAUUCGGUGAGAAUGUCACUUUAGGGAAGGUAUUAGCAAACCCAACAUGGCAACACAUUUGAGAAGAAUUCUUAAAAAUGUUUUACCAGUAAUAAAGCUAAAUGUUUCCUUGGUCUCUCUGAUUGCUAUGCUGGGUUUUGUUUUGUUCCAAUCUUAGAAAUGUGAGAAGUGUGAUUAACUUUCAGCCUCAAACCUGGGAGAGGUAUUUGCCAUCUUUGGCUUAACUUCUUCAGUUUCUAUGAGUUACUUCUGCACCUGGAGCUUCUCCACAUCAUGCCUUGAACAUCCCUGAGAAGACGAAGGAUGCUAGUCCAAGCAAGGGCUUGGAAAUAUGCUUAAUCUGUGCCAAGAGCAUUUCUCCCUUACAUUUAAGAAGUGUAGGCCAGGCGGGGUGGCUCACGUCUGUAAUCCCAGCACUUUGGGUGGCCAAGGCAGGUGGAUCCCAAGGUCAGGAGAUCGAGACCAUCCUGGCCAACAUGGUGAAACCCUGUCUCUACUAAAAAUACAAAAAUUAACCAGGUGUGGUGGUGGACACCUGUAGUCCCAGCUACUCAGGAGAGUGAGGCAGGAGAAUCGCUUGAACCUGGGAGGCAGAGUUUGCAGCGAGCUGACAUGGCACCACUGCACUCCAGCCUGGGUGACAGAGAGGGACUCUGUCUUAAAAAAAGGAAGAAGAAGAAGUGUAGCAAAAAUGUAAGUAGCUUCUGCAUAUUGGUCUUCCAUUUUUCCUAAAAUCUUUAAAACAUUAAUCUAUAGAUAUUUAUGAAAUAUUUGUAUAGAAGAAGAAUGUAUUUCUAAAGAUAAACUGAAACCAAAGAGCCUAAUGGCAUAUGUCUUGAUGUUGAAUGCCACAGUAGGAGAAUUACACAAAUAUCCUGCCCUCUAAGACAUUUCAGGAUACACUGCAACUAAUCAGAAGCCUUGUAUUUAUUGAAACACAGUUUAUUUGAGAAAGUUAUUCGUCUCCUUACUUGACAGAGUCAAUAAAGUCCAUCUUUUUUUGUUUGUUUGUUUUUACUUUAGUGAAAAGCCUCUAUAACUCUGCUUUAAAAAAUAUUUACUUAUUCUGGAGAUGUAAAGAAAGCACAUCUUGGUGGAAUACAUUUUCAGCCAUCCAGUCUACACAGAAAAUCACGAUUGUGUUGUCUGUGUUGGGGAAUGAUUGUAAACAGCGCACCAGCUCACUGCAGUGGUGCCAGCCCCUAAUUCCAUAAGUGGCUGUGGAUGCUUUAACCAGGCAGCACCACACAAUGUGUCUAAUCUGCUAUGCAGCUGCAAUGUUAAUGGGCCAACUGCGUUAUCUCACAUUUGCCUGGAAGGAACAGCGGUUUCUAAAUGAAUUGCUAUGAUUUCUAAUACAGAUAGAAGGACCAGCCACCACGGGCCCAUGUUAGCAACUGACAGACCAUACACAAUGAUGGGGCCUUGUGUUUAUCUUGCUCCUCCCAGACCCUGGAGAAUGACAGAUUUGAUGCAGGGAGAUAAAUGAGGAGGAGAGCAAAUUUUGAAAGGGAGAAGGUUGUAGACUUUUCUUAAGUGCUCAAAUGAGGGAGCAAGGUUCCCAUUUGUACCGACUUUACGACAGGACAGGGCACUUGUCUCUAGCUGAUGGUUAGUAGGUGUAGAUGGAUCAGAUCAUUCUGGUGGAAAAGUGAAAAGGCAUUUGGAGUCAGAACUCAGGAUCUGCCGUUGAUUGUUAUUGGUAAUUUAGGAUAUUACCAUCAUAUCUUUUCCGUAUUCGAAGUCAAUGUUUGUCGCUCAUUAAUUCCCGGAGAAAGACUACUUAUCCUUAAUUAAUGUUCUUUGUCAAAGCUCAGCAGAGGAUGAAUGUCAGGUUGGUUCAACACCGUCAUCUGCACGCAUGGCCAUUUCUGCAGCUGUGGCUGCUGGCUGGUGCUGGGCUGCAAAGGCAGAGCCAAUGUCUAUCCUAAGAGGAGGCUGGGUUUAGGGAGCUUUUCUAUUUUUCUCUCUGACUUUACCCCAUUAUCACAAACAUGUAAAACCUGUUAUUCUUUUAAAGACAAAAUUAGAGGAAAGUAAACAAUUUUCUAGGGGAGUCCUUGAAACAAGAAUAAGUCACAGAUGGCAAGAUUCUGAGCCGUUUGUACAGGACGCAUGAAGGCUAAGCCACCUAUAUUUUUUGGGUGAUAGGAGUCAGCUUGCCAACUUGAAGUAUAAAUGUCAAGAAGAGGAUGAUAUCAUUUCUUAACAAUAGGAAGCCUUCAGGCUCCUCUUCGGGCUCUUGAUGAAGGAAGAGCUAGGAUCAUGGUUACAUGUCCUGAUAG